rnacentral:rRNA from 1 species
GACGAACGCUGGCGGCGUGCUUAACACAUGCAAGUCGAACGGAAAGGCCCUGCUUUUGUGGGGUGCUCGAGUGGCGAACGGGUGAGUAACACGUGAGUAACCUGCCCUUGACUUUGGGAUAACUUCAGGAAACUGGGGCUAAUACCGGAUAGGAGCUCCUGCUACAUGGUGGGGGUUGGAAAGUUUCGGCGGUUGGGGAUGGACUCGCGGCUUAUCAGCUUGUUGGUGGGGUAGUGGCUUACCGAGGCUUUGACGGGUAGCCGGCCUGAGAGGGUGACCGGCCACAUUGGGACUGAGAUACGGCCCAGACUCCUACGGGAGGCAGCAGUGGGGAAUAUUGCACAAUGGGCGGAAGCCUGAUGCAGCAACGCCGCGUGCGGGAUGACGGCCUUCGGGUUGUAAACCGCUUUCGCCUGUGACGAAGCGUGAGUGACGGUAAUGGGUAAAGAAGCACCGGCUAACUACGUG